GACGAACGCUGGCGGCAUGCCUAACACAUGCAAGUCGAACGGGAUCCUGGCUUCGGCCAGGUGAGAGUGGUGGACGGGUGAGUAACGCGUGGAACCUGCCCAAUGGUCUGGGAUAACCGCGGGAAACUGCGGCUAAUACCGGAUAAGCCCCGGGGAGGGGGCAAAGGAUUUAUCGCCGAUGGAGGGGCCCGCGUCCGAUUAGGUAGUUGGUGAGGUAACGGCUCACCAAGCCGACGAUCGGUAGCUGGUCUGAGAGGAUGAUCAGCCACACUGGGACUGAGAUACGGCCCAGACUCCUACGGGAGGCAGCAGUGGGGCAAUAUUGGACAAUGGGGGGUCAAGCCCUGCAUCCAGCAAUGCCGCGUGAGUGAUGAAGGCC
rnacentral:rRNA from 1 species